GAUGAACGCUGGCGGCGUGCCUAAUACAUGCAAGUCGAGCGAACAGAUAAGGAGCUUGCUCCUUUGACGUUAGCGGCGGACGGGUGAGUAACACGUGGGUAACCUAUCUAUAAGACUGGAAUAACUCCGGGAAACCGGGGCUAAUGCCGGAUAACAUGUUGAACCGCAUGGUUCUACAGUGAAAGGCGGCUUUGCUGUCACUUAUAGAUGGACCCGCGCCGUAUUAGCUAGUUGGUGAGGUAACGGCUCACCAAGGCAACGAUACGUAGCCGACCUGAGGGGGUGAUCGGCCACACUGGAACUGAGACACGGUCCAGACUCCUACGGGAGGCAGCAGUAGGGAAUCUUCCGCAAUGGGCGAAAGCCUGACGGAGCAACGCCGUGUGAGUGAUGAAGGUCUUCGGAUCGUAAAACUCUGUUAUUAGGGAAGAACAAAUGCGUAAGUAACUGUGCGCGUCUUGACGGUACCUAAUCAGAAAGCCACGGCUAACUACGUG
rnacentral:rRNA from 1 species